rnacentral:rRNA from 1 species
AGCGAACGCUGGCGGCAGGCCUAACACAUGCAAGUCGAACGAACUCUUCGGAGUUAGUGGCGGACGGGUGAGUAACACGUGGGAACGUGCCUUUAGGUUCGGAAUAACUCAGGGAAACUUGUGCUAAUACCGAAUGUGCCCUUCGGGGGAAAGAUUUAUCGCCUUUAGAGCGGCCCGCGUCUGAGUAGCUAGUUGGUGGGGUAAUGGCCCACCAAGGCGACGAUCAGUAGCUGGUCUGAGAGGAUGACCAGCCACAUUGGGACUGAGACACGGCCCAAACUCCUACGGGAGGCAGCAGUGGGGAAUCUUGCGCAAUGGGCGAAAGCCUGACGCAGCCAUGCCGCGUGUAUGAUGAAGGUCUUAGGAUUGUAAAAUACUUUCACCGGUGAAGAUAAUGACUGUAGCCGGAGAAGAAGCCCCGGCUAACUUCGUGCCAGCCGCCGCCGUAAAAC